AAGAGUCGGUCCCCAAAUGAGGCGAAGCCUCAUUUUUGCAUGGGACCGACGAACUGCCCUCGAACAAAGUGAGGGGGCAAUACCGUAA
rnacentral:sRNA from 12 species